rnacentral:rRNA from 1 species
UGGGGAAUUUUCCGCAAUGGGCGGAAGCCUGACGGAGCAAUACCGCGUGAGGGAUGACGGCCUAUGGGUUGUAAACCUCUUUUUUCAGGGAGGAAUCAAUGACGUGUACCUGAAGAAUAAGCAUCGGCUAACU